rnacentral:rRNA from 1 species
UUAAGUUAUUAAGGGCGCACGGUGGAUGCCUUGGCACUAGAAGCCGAUGAAGGACGUUACUAACGACGAUAUGCUUUGGGGAGCUGUAAGUAAGCUUUGAUCCAGAGAUUUCCGAAUGGGGAAACCCAGCAUGAGUUAUGUCAUGUUAUCGAUAUGUGAAUACAUAGCAUAUCAGAAGGCACACCCGGAGAACUGAAACAUCUUAGUACCCGGAGGAAGAGAAAGAAAAUUCGAUUCCCUUAGUAGCGGCGAGCGAAACGGGAAGAGCCCAAACCAACAAGCUUGCUUGUUGGGGUUGUAGGACACUCUAUACGGAGUUACAAAGGACGACAUUAGACGAAUCAUCUGGAAAGAUGAAUCAAAGAAGGUAAUAAUCCUGUAGUCGAAAAUGUUGUCUCUCUUGAGUGGAUCCUGAGUACGACGGAGCACGUGAAAUUCCGUCGGAAUCUGGGAGGACCAUCUCCUAAGGCUAAAUACUCUCUAGUGACCGAUAGUGAACCAGUACCGUGAGGGAAAGGUGAAAAGCACCCCGGAAGGGGAGUGAAAUAGAACCUGAAACCGUGUGCUUACAAGUAGUCAGAGCCCGUUAAUGGGUGAUGGCGUGCCUUUUGUAGAAUGAACCGGCGAGUUACGAUUUGAUGCAAGGUUAAGCAGUAAAUGUGGAGCCGUAGCGAAAGCGAGUCUGAAUAGGGCGUUUAGUAUUUGGUCGUAGACCCGAAACCAGGUGAUCUACCCUUGGUCAGGUUGAAGUUCAGGUAACACUGAAUGGAGGACCGAACCGACUUACGUUGAAAAGUGAGCGGAUGAACUGAGGGUAGCGGAGAAAUUCCAAUCGAACCUGGAGAUAGCUGGUUCUCUCCGAAAUAGCUUUAGGGCUAGCCUCAAGUGAUGAUUAUUGGAGGUAGAGCACUGUUUGGACGAGGGGCCCCUCUCGGGUUACCGAAUUCAGACAAACUCCGAAUGCCAAUUAAUUUAACUUGGGAGUCAGAACAUGGGUGAUAAGGUCCGUGUUCGAAAGGGAAACAGCCCAGACCACCAGCUAAGGUCCCAAAAUAUAUGUUAAGUGGAAAAGGAUGUGGCGUUGCCCAGACAACUAGGAUGUUGGCUUAGAAGCAGCCAUCAUUUAAAGAGUGCGUAAUAGCUCACUAGUCGAGUGACACUGCGCCGAAAAUGUACCGGGGCUAAACAUAUUACCGAAGCUGUGGAUUGUCCUUUGGACAAUGGUAGGAGAGCGUUCUAAGGGCGUUGAAGCAUGAUCGUAAGGACAUGUGGAGCGCUUAGAAGUGAGAAUGCCGGUGUGAGUAGCGAAAGACGGGUGAGAAUCCCGUCCACCGAUUGACUAAGGUUUCCAGAGGAAGGCUCGUCCGCUCUGGGUUAGUCGGGUCCUAAGCUGAGGCCGACAGGCGUAGGCGAUGGAUAACAGGUUGAUAUUCCUGUACCACCUAUAAUCGUUUUAAUCGAUGGGGGGACGCAGUAGGAUAGGCGAAGCGUGCGAUUGGAUUGCACGUCUAAGCAGUAAGGCUGAGUAUUAGGCAAAUCCGGUACUCGUUAAGGCUGAGCUGUGAUGGGGAGAAGACAUUGUGUCUUCGAGUCGUUGAUUUCACACUGCCGAGAAAAGCCUCUAGAUAGAAAAUAGGUGCCCGUACCGCAAACCGACACAGGUAGUCAAGAUGAGAAUUCUAAGGUGAGCGAGCGAACUCUCGUUAAGGAACUCGGCAAAAUGACCCCGUAACUUCGGGAGAAGGGGUGCUCUUUAGGGUUAACGCCCAGAAGAGCCGCAGUGAAUAGGCCCAAGCGACUGUUUAUCAAAAACACAGGUCUCUGCUAAACCGUAAGGUGAUGUAUAGGGGCUGACGCCUGCCCGGUGCUGGAAGGUUAAGAGGAGUGGUUAGCUUCUGCGAAGCUACGAAUCGAAGCCCCAGUAAACGGCGGCCGUAACUAUAACGGUCCUAAGGUAGCGAAAUUCCUUGUCGGGUAAGUUCCGACCCGCACGAAAGGCGUAACGAUUUGGGCACUGUCUCAACGAGAGACUCGGUGAAAUCAUAGUACCUGUGAAGAUGCAGGUUACCCGCGACAGGACGGAAAGACCCCGUGGAGCUUUACUGUAGCCUGAUAUUGAAAUUCGGCACAGCUUGUACAGGAUAGGUAGGAGCCUUUGAAACGUGAGCGCUAGCUUACGUGGAGGCGCUGGUGGGAUACUACCCUAGCUGUGUUGGCUUUCUAACCCGCACCACUUAUCGUGGUGGGAGACAGUGUCAGGCGGGCAGUUUGACUGGGGCGGUCGCCUCCUAAAAGGUAACGGAGGCGCUCAAAGGUUCCCUCAGAAUGGUUGGAAAUCAUUCAUAGAGUGUAAAGGCAUAAGGGAGCUUGACUGCGAGACCUACAAGUCGAGCAGGGUCGAAAGACGGACUUAGUGAUCCGGUGGUUCCGCAUGGAAGGGCCAUCGCUCAACGGAUAAAAGCUACCCCGGGGAUAACAGGCUUAUCUCCCCCAAGAGUUCACAUCGACGGGGAGGUUUGGCACCUCGAUGUCGGCUCAUCGCAUCCUGGGGCUGUAGUCGGUCCCAAGGGUUGGGCUGUUCGCCCAUUAAAGCGGUACGCGAGCUGGGUUCAGAACGUCGUGAGACAGUUCGGUCCCUAUCCGUCGUGGGCGUAGGAAAUUUGAGAGGAGCUGUCCUUAGUACGAGAGGACCGGGAUGGACAUACCUCUGGUGUACCAGUUGUCGUGCCAACGGCAUAGCUGGGUAGCUAUGUGUGGACGGGAUAAGUGCUGAAAGCAUCUAAGCAUGAAGCCCCCCUCUAAGAUCCCUCAAAGAUGAUGAGGUGACAUGUGGAGCUGAUGUAU